rnacentral:ncRNA from 1 species
AAAGAAGACCCUGUUGAGCUUGACUGUAGCCUGGCGCUGUGAAGAGAUGUGAGAGGUGUCGAGUGAGUGGGAGGCUGGGCGCUUUUCACUUUCCUGGCAAGGCAUGGGGGCAAGCACCGAAGGGGGGGCUCUGGCUUCCGGCACCAAGCGCCCAGCGCGUGACGGGUGUGACCUGCCCCGGGGACAGUGGCAGGUGGGGAGUUAGAGUGGGGCGGCACCCCGCUCAAAGUGUGACGCAGAUGUACUAAGGUGAGCUCAGGGAGGACAGGAACCUCCCGUGGAGAAGGACAAAACCUCGCUUCAUCUUGAUUUUCAGUAUGAAUGCAGACUGUGGAAGCAGGGCCUCAUGAUCCUUCCGGCUGUUUGGGUUUUAAGCAGGAGGUGUCAGAAAAGUUACCACAGGAAUAACUGGCUUAUGGCCGUCAAGCAUUCAUAGCAACGCCGCUUUUUGAUCCUUCAGUGUCGGCUUUUUCCAUCACUGUGAAGCAGAAUGCACCAAGCGUUGGAUUGUUCACCCACUGAUAGGGAAAGUGAGCCGCGCUUAGACCGUCGUGAGGCAGGUUAGUUUUACCCUACCGGUGAUGUGUGGUUGCAGUCGUAAUCCUGUCCAGGACAAGAGGAACCCCAGGUUCAGACCCCUGGUGCGUGCGCUCGGCUGAGGCGCCAAUGGCGCCAAUGGCUACCAUCUGCGGACUUACGACUGAACACCUCUAAGUCAGAACCCCAGCAGCGCUGUUGGAGUCUUGGUAGGCUCGCGAUAGCUGCCCGCCCGCUCCCCCGGGGUGGGGGGCCGGAGUGUAGAAUGCUGCUCAUGGUCGGCAACGAGGGGUGGGUGAAUGUGGCGCUGCCUCUCCCCUGUUGCAUCCUUCACAAUCACGGGGCAUCUGGCGCUCAGUCAUUUGUAGGCGACCUGAUUCUGGGUCAGGGUUUCGUAUGUAGCAAAGCAGCUCCCUCGCUGCGAUCUAUUGAGAAUCAGCCCUCGACACAAGCUUUUGU